UACGGAGGGAGCUAGCGUUGUUCGGAAUUACUGGGCGUAAAAGCGUGCGUAGGCGGUUCGCUAAGUCGGUUUGUGAAAAUCCCCUGGGGCUUAACCUGGGGAACUGCAGUCGAUACUGGCGAAACUAGAAUGCGGGUAGAGGGGUGGGCGGAACUCCGGGGUGUAGCGGUGAAAUGCGUAGAUAUCCGGAAGAACACCGAUGGCGAAGGCAACCACCUGGGGCCUGCACUUUGACGCUGAGGUACGAAAAGCGUGGGGGAGCAAACAGG
rnacentral:rRNA from 1 species